UGCCUUUUGUUAGAAAA
rnacentral:tRNA from 3 species